GGCGAAUACUUAUGCAAGGCCCUGCAUACUGAUAUCUUCGAGUCAGUAUUAUUUUCCACUGAGGGUUGGCUGAAACGAGGGUUUUUCCGCAGGUGGAGCAAUGCGAGAACAGAUAGAGCAACUGCGACACACGACACUCCGAGGAUUUAAACUUGAAGCACAUCCUGCCUCUGCUUUUCUCCAGCUCUUGAAACAGGGCGGAUGUGUAGAUGUUGAAGGAUAAUGUCGGGGAAUAUGCAGCUCAUUCAGUUCGCACGGAUUCUUCUGUGUCUCGUGAUUUUCAGGGACCUUUGGCACACAUAUUCAGGUACAUUGGCUAUUUCCCCGGGAAAACACCCAACUUUAAUCACCACUGUCAGGGAUGCCGACUUGCUAUAUGAGAGGGUCGCGGGUAGCCUAUCCCAGGGGACUUAGGGCACAAGGUGGGGAACACGCUGGACGGGAUGCCAACCCAUCACAGGGC
ensembl:lncRNA